CUACGGGAGGCAGCAGUGGGGAAUCUUGCGCAAUGGCCGAAAGGCUGACGCAGCGACGCCGCGUGGAGGAUGACGCCCUUCGGGGUGUAAACUCCUGUUGCCCGGGACGAAUACCUGUUUCGACAGGGGUGACGGUACCGGGUGAGGAAGCACCGGCUAACUCUGUGCCAGCAGCCGCGGUAAUACAGAGGGUGCGAGCGUUGUCCGGAAUCACUGGGCGUAAAGGGCGCGUAGGUGGCGCGGUAAGCGUGUGGUGAAAGUCCGGGGCUCAACCCCGGAUCGGCCAUGCGAACUGCCGCGCUGGAGCACGGUAGAGGCACAUGGAAUUCCGGGUGUAGCGGUGGAAUGCGUAGAGAUCCGGAAGAACACCGGUGGCGAAGGCGGUGUGCUGGGCCGUUGCUGACGCUGAGGCGCGACAGCGUGGGGAGCAAACAGGAUUAGAUACCCUAGUAGUCC
rnacentral:rRNA from 1 species